rnacentral:misc_RNA from 1 species
GAUGAAGAAACGUAGCGAAAUGCGAUACGUAAUGUGAAUUGCAGAAUUCAGUGAAUCAUCGAAUCUUUGAACGCAUAUUGCGCUCUUUGGUAUUCCGAAGAGCAUGCUUGUUUGAGUAUCAGUAAACACCUCAAAAGAUUUUCAUUUUUGAAAUGAUUUUGGACUUGAGCAAUCCCAACACCAGUCUUCACGGAUCGGCGGAGGGUUGCUUGAAAUGCAGGUGCAGCUGGACAUUCUCCUGAGCUAAAAGCAUAUCUAUUUAGUCCCGUCAAACGGAUUAUUACUUUUGCUGCAGCUAACAUAAAGGGAGUUUGACCAUUUUGGCUGACUGAUGCAGGAUUUCACAAGGGUCGGUAAAACGAUUUUUGUAAAACUCGAUCUCAAAUCAAGUAAGACUACCCGCUGAACUUAAGCAUAUCAAUAAGCGGAGGA